GACGAACGCUGGCGGCGUGCUUAACACAUGCAAGUCGAACGGAAAGGCCCUGCUUGCAGGGUACUCGAGUGGCGAACGGGUGAGUAACACGUGGGUAAUCUGCCCUGCACUUCGGGAUAAGCCUGGGAAACUGGGUCUAAUACCGGAUAGGAGCCAUUUUUAGUGUGAUGGUUGGAAAGUUUUUUCGGUGUAGGAUGAGCUCGCGGCCUAUCAGCUUGUUGGUGGGGUAAUGGCUUACCAAGGCGGCGACGGGUAGCCGGCCUGAGAGGGUGGACGGCCACAUUGGGACUGAGAUACGGCCCAGACUCCUACGGGAGGCAGCAGUGGGGAAUAUUGCACAAUGGGCGCAAGCCUGAUGCAGCGACGCCGCGUGGGGGAUGACGGCCUUCGGGUUGUAAACUCCUUUCGCUAGGGACGAAGCUUUUUGUGACGGUACCUAGAUAAGAAGCACCGGCUAACUACGUG
rnacentral:rRNA from 1 species